UUUUUCAAAGCAUUUUAUAAAUAACAGAACAAAACUGGAAUGAUACAGAGGAGAUUAGCAUGGCCCCUGUACAAGGAUGACAUUCAAAUUAGUGAUGCAUUGCUUUUGUUU
ensembl:snRNA U6 U6 spliceosomal RNA